GCAAGCAAGCAAUCCGUCGCUCAUCUUUCGAGAUGAGAGGAACUUCCCGACUCCCCGCUCUUGGCGAAAGCCACGGGCGCGGUUGCCUCACGAAACAGCAAGUGAGGGCACCACCUCUCCCGCGAGGGUGAGGUGGUGACGACAACUGCAACAGAAAACAAACCAGCCCCCAUCUUCCCCUCCCCUGUUUAACGGGGGAGGGUUGGGUGGGGGUGAUGGCUGAAACGGUGGGGUAAGGGCCUACCAGCGUCGCAGGCGACUGCGGCGGCUAGGUGAAUGUCCAACUGGGAGCAAGGCGGGUGGGAUUGGCUCGCGUCAGCGGGUUGAUUCCCGUCGCAGCGACGAUGCCGACGUAGAGCAACACUCUGCAAAGUAAUCGCCGCCGGUGGAUCGAAAGAUUCGCCGAGACAGAUGACGGACUGGACAGAAUCGGGGGUAUGACUUGCUUGCCACA
rnacentral:RNase_P_RNA from 2 species